rnacentral:tRNA from 1 species
GCAGCUACGGCUCAGUUGGUAGAGUNCUUGCCUAGCACACAAGAAGCUCUGGGUUCCAUACCCACUAGCACCA